rnacentral:lncRNA from 1 species
UCCUGGCCUCAGGGUCCAGCUCCCUUCGAGGCUGCCUUCGGCGGUGCCUGACAAACUGCCUAAGGAAAGCUUUCCCUUGGCUUGCCUCUGCUCGCUCUCUCUCCCUCUCUCAUUGUUUCUCAUUGUUGUUGGUUAAUCGCUUCAGGAGCUAAAGGGGAAAAUGGCGAUGGGGAAGAGGGUGGAGAUAAACAGGUAUUUGGGAAGGGGCUACGAGUCGGUGGCGGAAACGGGAGAGCAAAGUGCCUUUGGGGUCCUGUACCUGUGAGGCGGGAGCAGUGCGCUCUGUGACUCUUAGUUUGCCCGGAAAUCCGUAUGUUUGGCUGGAAGUGUGCACGGCGCUGGAGGCGUCCUUCAGAUUGACUCAAGGAAAUGAUAAGAUUUAGGAUUUUGACGAUGAAGAAACAUUUAAAAGGGGUGGGGUAUAAUGAACGAGAAAGCAACAGGCAUAACCAGGUCUCUCGCAGGCCGUAUUUGAUGGGCCUGAAAAGAAGUCUGAUGAAACAGAUGUUACUUGAAGCUGAGUGACUUUCUCAGGGUCAAGCAAAUAAGUAAAUGGAGGAGUCAGAAUUAUAUCCCAGGAUCCCCAUCACAAGGAGGGGAGGGCUACCAUCCCAGCUGCAUGCUCCCAUUCAAGGUUUAUGCUGCAGCCAGCAGUCUUUGGAGUCUAGUUCAAAGCUGAAGAGAGUGAACCAUGGAGCUGGGAGCCACUGGCGGAGGGGCUGGCCUGAAGGAAGGGAACUGUUUCAGCCAGAAUGUACUGAUGCACGACCAGGAAACCACAAGACUGGUGAGAACCUUUCCAAAACUGAGCUUUAUGAUCAAAAGAGGUACAGGAAACAGCUCAGCCAGGAGUCCUUUCUGCUCCUGGCUGGAACCCUGAGCUUCUGAGUCUCUCUGAGUCGACUCCCUAAACCAGAUG